rnacentral:rRNA from 1 species
AGCGAACGCUGGCGGCAGGCCUAACACAUGCAAGUCGAACGAACCCUUCGGGGUUAGUGGCGGACGGGUGAGUAACACGUGGGAACGUGCCUUUAGGUUCGGAAUAACUCAGGGAAACUUGUGCUAAUACCGAAUGUGCCCUUCGGGGGAAAGAUUUAUCGCCUUUAGAGCGGCCCGCGUCUGAUUAGCUAGUUGGUGAGGUAAUGGCUCACCAAGGCUACGAUCAGUAGCUGGACUGAGAGGAUGACCAGCCACAUUGGGACUGAGACACGGCCCAAACUCCUACGGGAGGCAGCAGUGGGGAAUCUUGCGCAACGGGCGAAAGCCUGACGCAGCCAUGCCGCGUGGAUGAUGAAGGUCUUAGGAUUGUAAAAUCCUUUCACCGGUGAAGAUAAUGACUGUAGCCGGAGAAGAAGCCCCGGCUAACUUCGUGCCAGCCGCCGCUGUAAUAC